AAUCCAGACUCCUACGGGAGGCAGCAGUGGGGAAUAUUGCACAAUGGGGGAAACCCUGAUGCAGCAACGCCGCGUGAGUGAAGAAGUAUUUCGGUAUGUAAAGCUCUAUCAGCAGGGAAGAAGAUGACGGUACCUGAGUAAGAAGCCCCGGCUAACUACGUGCCAGCAGCCGCGGUAAUACGUAGGAGGCAAGCGUUAUCCGGAAUGACUGGGCGUAAAGGGUGCGUAGGUGGUUUGACAAGUUAGUAGCGCAACUCCGGAGCUUAACUUCGGAACUACUACUAAAACUGUUGGACUUGAGUGCAGGAGGGGCAAUCGGAAUUCCUAGUGUAGCGGUGGAAUGCGUAGAUAUUAGGAGGAACACCAGUGGCGAAGGCGGCUUACUGGACUGUAACUGACGUUGAGGCUCGAAAGCGUGGGGAGCAAACAGGAUUAGAUACCCUCGUACU
rnacentral:rRNA from 1 species